UAUGAUUGAACGUGCUUUUGGGUCC
rnacentral:piRNA from 1 species